CCUACGGGCGGCAGCAGUAGGGAAUAUUGCUCAAUGGGGGAAACCCUGAAGCAGCAACGCCGCGUGAAGGAUGAAGGUUUUAGGAUUGUAAACUCCUGUUGUCAGGGAAGAUAAUGACGGUAUCUAACGAGUAAGCACCGGCUAACUCCGGGCCAGCAGCCGCGGUAAUACGGAGGGUGCAAGCGUUAGUCGGAAUGAAUGGUCGGAAAGAGUGCGCAGGCGGGCUUGUAAGUCACAUGUGAAAUCCCUUGGCUUAACUACAGAACUGCAUUUGAAACUAUGAGUCUAGAGUGUGUGAGAGGUAGGUGGAAUUCCUGGUGUAGGAGUAAAAUCCGUAGAUAUCUAGAGGAAUACUCAUGGCGAAGGCGACCUACUGGAACAUUACUGACGCUCAUGCGCGAAAGCGUGGGGAGCAAACAGGAUUAGAUACCCUUGUAGUC
rnacentral:rRNA from 1 species